CUUGCUUAAAUGUUGGAAAACCAAAAGGACCAUCAUAUGUGCCCUUUGAGGUUUUUGAGCUCAUUCUACUUCACUUUUUUUAAAUUUUUUUUGAAAGAACCUUUAUUUUUAUCCUAACAAAUUUGGCAAACUAUUCAGUUAUGCUCCUUAGUUUCACUGCAAAGAUAUACCAAAUCACUGUCAACAUUUCAACAAGCUUCCCCGGUGGAAAAGUCAAGGCUGACGCCUUAUGAAUGAAUAAGUGUCCUCAAUGAGCGUUAGCAUUGCCACUGCUUUUACUCAAAUAGAAGCCAUAGUAUUGCAACCUCCCCGGCUCAGAGUUGGCAAUGGAGAGGACUUUAUUCCAUCAAGGGGGAGAUGAAAUUUUAACCAAAAGGGUACAACCUGGCCCACUCAUUACCAUGUGCUAAUGGAUGAAAAUGGAUUUAUUACUGAUUUCCUGCAGGAGCUUGUUCAUUCCCUUUCUCAUGUAUUCUGCCUUGUCCAUUGUUAGUACUUGCAAUUUACUUGGAAGUUGUUUCGGUGUUGCCCUACAUAAGGUCAACGACUGAUGCAAAACAUAAAGAAAAAGGACCAGUACGUGAAGAUUGUUGCACAUCCUGAUCACUUGAUCUAUUCAGAAA